rnacentral:rRNA from 1 species
UACGUAGGCAGCAAGCGUUGUUCGGAAUUACUGGGCGUAAAGAGUGUGUAGGUGGUGUCGUAAGUUUGGUGUGAAAUCUCCCGGCUUAACUGGGAGGGUGCGCCGAAGACUGCGAUGCUGGAGUAUGGGAGAGGAAAGCGGAAUUCCUGGUGUAGCGGUGAAAUGCGUAGAUAUCAGGAGGAACACCAACGGCGAAGGCAGCUCGCUGGGACGGUACUGACACUAAGGCGCGAAAGCGUGGGGAGCGAACAGG